rnacentral:tRNA from 1 species
GGGCCACCAGCUCAAAUGGUAGAGCGCUCGCUUAGCAUGCGAGAGGUACUGGGAUCGAUACCCAGGUGGUCCA